rnacentral:rRNA from 1 species
GACGAACGCUGGCGGCGUGCUUAACACAUGCAAGUCGAACGGAAAGGCCCUGCUUUUGUGGGGUGCUCGAGUGGCGAACGGGUGAGUAACACGUGAGUAACCUGCCCUUGACUUUGGGAUAACUUCAGGAAACUGGGGCUAAUACCGGAUAGGAGCUCCUGCUGCAUGGUGGGGGUUGGAAAGUUUCGGCGGUUGGGGAUGGACUCGCGGCUUAUCAGCUUGUUGGUGGGGUAGUGGCUUACCAAGGCUUUGACGGGUAGCCGGCCUGAGAGGGUGAGCGGCCAGAUUGGGACUAAGAUACGGCCCGGACGCCGACGGGAGGCAGCAGUGGGGAAUAUUGCAUAAUGGGCGGAAGCCUGAUGCAGCAACGCCGCUUGAGGGAUGACGGACUGCGUGUUGUAAACCGCUUUCGCCUGUGACGAAGCGUGAGUGGCGGUAAUGGGUAAAGAAGCACCGGCUAACUACGUG